AGUGAACGCUGGCGGUAGGCCUAACACAUGCAAGUCGAACGGCAGCACAGUAAGAGCUUGCUCUUACGGGUGGCGAGUGGCGGACGGGUGAGGAAUACAUCGGAAUCUACUUUUUCGUGGGGGAUAACGUAGGGAAACUUACGCUAAUACCGCAUACGACCUACGGGUGAAAGCAGGGGAUCUUCGGACCUUGCGCGAUUGGAUGAGCCGAUGUCGGAUUAGCUAGUUGGCGGGGUAAAGGCCCACCAAGGCGACGAUCCGUAGCUGGUCUGAGAGGAUGAUCAGCCACACUGGAACUGAGACACGGUCCAGACUCCUACGGGAGACAGCAGUGGGGAAUAUUGGACAAUGGGCGCAAGCCUGAUCCAGCCAUACCGCGUGGGUGAAGAAGGCCUUCGGGUUGUAAAGCCCUUUUGUUGGGAAAGAAAAGCAGCAGGUUAAUACCCCGCUGUUCUGACGGUACCCAAAGAAUAAGCACCGGCUAACUUCGUG
rnacentral:rRNA from 1 species